CUAGUGUUCAAAAUGAGCUCCUUUAGCUGAGCCUGGGCAAAUGCAUUUUCUUGGAUGGACAUUACUGCGUUGUUGCUUAAAUCUAGAUGUUCCAGUCCUUCAAGACCAGAGAAUGCCUUCUUCGUAAUUGAUUUAAUCUGAUUCCCUUGCAAGAUUAGUUUAUCCAGCCUGCUGAGUCCCACAAAUGCUUCGUUUGCAUCCUCUAUGGCCCAGGAGAUCUCAUUGUUCCCCAGGUCCAGGGCUCGAAGGUUUGUGAGACCUCUGAAGACACCAUCAGCAAUGUGACUAAUGCGAUUGUCUCCCAGGUUCAGUUUCUC
rnacentral:lncRNA from 1 species